UUGUGGAUGAUGGAAAAUCUGAUCGAAUCAUAGUUAAUGACAAUAGAGAACUCGUUUCUACUCAGCAUGCUAUCACUGAAUACCAGAGUGAUUGAAUCUUCACCACUUGGUAUGCUUGCCUCGUCGUCCAUCAAUGAACAGGGACUACAUCGAGUGAUGGGUUGUCAUAGGUGAAGAACCUGUGAUGGCUCAGUGAACAGGGACUACACCGUCCUCUUUCCUUUGGUGUCUCAAGGAGUCUUGGUAUCUUCUCAGUCUCAGGGAUUGAUUGACUCACCGCCGAGUCAUGAGACCGAAUAUUGCAGGAGCAGUUGGCAAUACGACAAAAAAGGAAUAUGCUUUCUGUUGCAGUGAAUUCAAGUCCCAUCUCAGAAUUAUAGUUGGAGCAAUCAAAUUUCUUUUCAAUUUCCUAGUUCACAGAAAUGCGAAAGUGAUGGUUAUUAGAAGUAUCAGAGUCAAAAUUCCACCGGAAAUCAGCGCAGAAGAAAGUCGUAAAAUCAUUACAGAUUCUGUCAAGAGAUUGAAUUUAUAACUUAGCUCUUGAGGAGGUGUGUGGCGUGUGUCGAGUCAGGUGUCUCGUAUCUUAGCUCGAAAUUUGGGAGCAUAACAGAAGCUCCUGAUGGCCUUAGGUUUAUUUCCUGUGAAAAAAAAAAAACACCGUUGUUCCGUGCAGGCUUGCCACUGUUUCUUCUGGAGAAACUCUUGCAGUACGAAGUUGGAAGACGUAAAGUCACUACAAGAAAACAAGUGUUUUCCUACUGCAAAAUUAGUAGGAAAUCAGUCGUGAGUGUCCCUGUUCAAGAUGCAUAUGGCGUAGAGGUGGAGGUAUAGUAUGAAUCUUUUGAGACUGUUCUGUUUGAAAACUUCAAGUGGAAGACAGUCCGUAUGAUCCAGAGCAGAUGGUUUUCAUGAAUUACGGAGAGUAUGCGAACCAGAAAGUUAGGAGCUUUUGAAGCUGAGUAUCCAACGUUUCUGUACGCCAUGCCUAUGACAAAGACGAGAGUAUUCUUUGAGGUUCUCAUGUUAAGAGUCGGUGGUUACUUGCCAAAAGAACCUCGCCUUUGGUGCUGCAGCUAGCAUGGUACAUCCAUCCCGCAACAGGCUAUUCAGUUGUGAGAUCUUUGUCUGAAACUCCAUAAUACGCAUAUCAGUCAUCGCGGAUAUACUAAAACAUGAUACUUACUUUCUUCACCAAACACAACAACAGAAUGGUCAGAUACUCCACUCGGCCCAGGUGAUGUGUUGGUUCUUCCAAGAAAUGUCCACCAAAAAUGAUGAAAAGUGUUACAGUUUAACCUUGUUUUAAAUCUUGAUAUGACAAUGUAUAUGUCUUCUUAUCAUUCGUUUUGUGGCCUAUAAAAAUGUGCCAGAGAGUUGGGAGUGCAAGAAGUACUUGCAUCAUUUAACUAACAAAGCUUCACCAUUUAGGUAUUCAGUCUCGUUCUUUUUAUCACG